CGCUUUUGGUAAAAUCAAAAGUAAAACCUGCUCAGUGCUUUUAAGUAAACAGCCGCAGUAUUUUGACUGUGCAAAGGUAGCAUAAUCAUUUGUCUUUUAAUUGAAGGCUAGAAUGAAUGGUAAAACGAGAAAAUAGCUGUCUCUUUAUAAAAUUAUCGAAAUUCAUUUUUAAGUGCAAAAGCUUUUAUUUUCUAAAAAGACGAUCAGACCCUAUGGAGCUUUUAUGUUGGGGCGACAAGAAGCAAUCAAAUAUCCCUUCUUUUAUGUAAUACAUAUUAGUAAAGUUAUGAUCCUAAAUGAUAGAUUAAAAGACUAAGUUACCCUAGGGAUAACAGCGUAAUUCUUUUAGAGAGUUCUAAUCGAUAAAAGAGUUUGCGACCUCGAUGUUGGAUUAAAGUUUCUUUGAGGUGUAGCAGCUUCAAACAGAAAGUCUGUUCGACUUUUAAAUCUUUACA
rnacentral:rRNA from 1 species